rnacentral:rRNA from 1 species
GACGAACGCUGGCGGCGUGCCUAAUACAUGCAAGUUGAGCGCUGAAGGUUGGUACUUGUACCAACUGGAUGAGCAGCGAACGGGUGAGUAACGCGUGGGGAAUCUGCCUUUGAGCGGGGGACAACAUUUGGAAACGAAUGCUAAUACCGCAUAAAAACUUUAAACAAAAGUUUUAAGUUUGAAAGAUGCAAUUGCAUCACUCAAAGAUGAUCUCGCGUUGUAUUAGCUAGUUGGUGAGGUAAAGGCUCACCAAGGCGAUGAUACAUAGCCGACCUGAGAGGGUGAUCGGCCACAUUGGGACUGAGACACGGCCCAAACUCCUACGGGAGGCAGCAGUAGGGAAUCUUCGGCAAUGGACGAAAGUCUGACCGAGCAACGCCGCGUGAGUGAAGAAGGUUUUCGGAUCGUAAAACUCUGUUGGUAGAGAAGAACGUUGGUGAGAGUGGAAAGCUCAUCAAGUGACGGUAACUACCCAGAAAGGGACGGCUAACUACGUG